UGGGUAACCUGCCCUUGAAGUAGGGGAUAACACUUGGAAACAGGUGCUAAUACCGUAUAACAACCAAAACCACCUGGUUUUGGUUUAAAAGACGGCUUCGGCUGUCACUUUAGGAUGGACCCGCGGCGCAUUAGCUUGUUGGUAAGGUAACGGCUUACCAAGGCGAUGAUACGUAGCCGACCUGAGAGGGUAAUCGGCCACAUUGGGACUGAGACACGGCCCAAACUCCUACGGGAGGCAGCAGUAGGGAAUCUUCCACAAUGGACGAAAGUCUGAUGGAGCAACGCCGCGUGAGUGAUGAAGGGUUUCGGCUCGUAAAACUCUGUUGUUGGAGAAGAACAGGUGUCAGAGUAACUGUUGACAUCUUGACGGUAUCCAACCAGAAAGCCACGGCUAACUACGUGCCAGCAGCCGCGGUAAUACGUAGGUGGCAAGCGUUGUCCGGAUUUAUUGGGCGUAAAGCGAGCGCAGGCGGUUUUUUAGGUCUGAUGUGAAAGCCUUCGGCUUAACCGGAGAAGUGCAUCGGAAACCGGGAGACUUGAGUGCAGAAGAGGACAGUGGAACUCCAUGUGUAGC
rnacentral:rRNA from 1 species